rnacentral:misc_RNA from 1 species
CGCCAGUGCUCGCUGCUACUCAGGCACACAUAGCCUUGAUUGCGCAGUGCUAUUCUACAGCACAGGUAUAAAAUGAGCGCUCGAAUAACGAUGCUGUAGAGAAUGAAAAACGCUUGCCUGUAGCCUAAGCAGAGCACUGGUUGCUGACAGACAUCCGAAUAUGUUGGUGCUAGUGUUAUCCAUUGCGUUAGGGUGUUCAUACCUAACCUCAGCUUCAGUACAGACGCCUACGCUUACAUCAUGUUCUAGUGUUCAGGACGUCAAGGUGAGCGACGUAAGCAUUACGGAUGCUCAGAUUGGGAAAACGAUGAGAGUGAAUUUUACACUGACAAUCAGCUCGCAGCUAGCAUCGAAUCCGACCUUGAAGAUAACAAUGAAGAAGAGCAGUGGUUCAACAAUCCCUUGCAUCAACAACGUUGGUUCAUGCACGUACAAACUGUGCGGAGGAACGACAAGCGUUGAACAACAGCUGGGUUCAUUAUGGAACAACCAAUGUCCAAUAAACCCAAUUACGGUCCAACAAUCGAUAACUGCCCAACUGGACCCACUGAUACAGCUCGUUAUCGGGACGGCGCCUACGACAAUCACUAUACAGCUUCAAGUAGUGAACGGAGGAUCUACCGUUGGGUGUCAGUCAUUUAAGGUAAACGUUGCUGCUGCCUGACUUUUGCGGAAAGAGGACUAAUACGGAAAUACGCCGCUUGGAUGAAGUCAACUGUGAAGCCGAACUUUUUUUCUGCAAUAAAGCUAAGGAACCGGCUCUCCGAGAACUUGUUCGAUAACAU